UCCGAAAUAGCUCAGUUGGUAGAGCGAUCGACUGUUAAUCGAUUGGUCACAGGUUCGAGUCCUGUUUUCGGAGCCA
rnacentral:tRNA from 1 species